AUUGAACGCUGGCGGCAUGCCUUACACACGCAAGUCGAACGGUAACAGGUCUUCGGAUGCUGACGAGUGGCGAACGGGUGAGUAAUACAUCGGAACGUGCCUAGUAGUGGGGGAUAACUACUCGAAAGAGUAGCUAAUACCGCAUGAGAUCUACGGAUGAAAGCAGGGGAUCGCAAGACCUUGUGCUACUAGAGCGGCCGAUGGCAGAUUAGGUAGUUGGUGGGAUAAAAGCUUACCAAGCCGACGAUCUGUAGCUGGUCUGAGAGGACGAUCAGCCACACUGGGACUGAGACACGGCCCAGACUCCUACGGGAGGCAGCAGUGGGGAAUUUUGGACAAUGGGCGCAAGCCUGAUCCAGCAAUGCCGCGUGCAGGAUGAAGGCCUUCGGGUUGUAAACUGCUUUUGUACGGAACGAAAAGCCCUGGGUUAAUACCCUGGGGUCAUGACGGUACCGUAAGAAUAAGCACCGGCUAACUACGUGCCAGCAGCCGCCGUAACAC
rnacentral:rRNA from 1 species